UCCAAUAUUGUCUAGUGGUUAUGAUACCUAGCUCUCACCCGGGAUCCCCGGGAUCAAUUUCCGGUAUGGUAA
rnacentral:tRNA from 1 species